GUGGAGUGACAGGUGGCAUUUGGGGAAGACUGAUGAUUUUGCAGGACUGAGUCUGGAAUAAACCUUUUCAUGGAUUUAGCUCCUUAAUAAGGCUGGAAAGAAGAGGGUCAUCCCUUCUCCCUCCAGGGGAUGCUGCAUAAGAAACAUAGAGUGGGAAGAUGCUGAGAGAUACAAUAACGGGGGAGGCAUCUUCAAAGGUUGCUGAGUGACAUGCCUGUGGCAGGAUUCCCCUUGCCUGAAUAUAUCAGAGUGUCUCCACUGCAUAGUCAGUCACUAUGCUCACCUGUAGGGUGUUGACUGGGAAAGUGGUUACAGGAGGAAAGUCCAUAA